rnacentral:rRNA from 1 species
GACGAGGGGUCCUAGCGUUGUUCGGAAUCACUGGGCGUAAAGCGUAUGUAGGCGGCUUUCUAAGUCGGUUGUGAAAUCCCAUGGCUUAACCAUGGAAUUGCAUUCGAAACUGGAGAGCUUGAGUGUGGGAGAGAUUGGUAGAAUACCUGGUGUAGAGGUGAAAUUCGUAGAUAUCAAGCGGAACACCGGUGGCGAAGGCGGCCUUCUGGACAGUGACUGACGCUGAGACGCGAAAGCGUGGGGAGCAAACAGG